UCGGAUAUGGUGUAGUGGCUAACAUUAUCGCCUCUCAUAAAAAUGCACGCGAUAGCCCGGGGUUCAAUUCCCCGUAUCCGAA